rnacentral:lncRNA from 1 species
AUGAAAGGAAGCAGAUUCCACAGUACUGUCUCUGGACCCUGGACACCGUACCUCCUCUGGAAGCGUCAGUGUUGGGGCUCAAAUUUUAAUCUACCUUUGGAUUCCUUAAUUUGGAAACUGGAGUGGAUUCAAAACGAGACUCCAGGAAUUGAGGAGUCCUUUUCAGAUGCUCUACGGGCCUUUAAAGGAAGAGUUUCCUCUGUUCCUUUUCCUUCAAGAAUUCUCUCCAUCGUCCAAAAAUUCAGUGGUGGAAAGCUGUUUUGUUUUUUUUUUGUUUGUUUUUUGUUUUGGUUUUUUUUUUUUUUUUUUGCUUUUUAGACCACACCUGUGGUGGAGGUUCCUAGGCUAGUGGUCAAAUCGGAGCUGUAGUUGCUGGCCUAUACCAUAGCCACAGCAACACCGGAUCUGAGGCACGUGGCAAGAUCUGAAGUUAGAAAUUAUGUCCUCUUUAUCCGUAUGGGAAAAGUUCUUAAAUAAAUUAUUUUUUUUAACUACA